CAGCACCUCAAGUGGUCAGGAUGAUUAUUGGGCCUAAAGCAUCCGUAGCCGGCUUUGUUAGUUUUCGGUUAAAUCUGUACGCUUAACGUACAGGCUGCCGGAAAUACUGCAGAGCUAGGGAGUGGGAGAGGUAGACGGUACUCGGUAGGAAGGGGUAAAAUCCUUUGAUCUAUUGAUGACCACCUGUGGCGAAGGCGGUCUACCAGAACACGUCCGACGGUGAGGGAUGAAAGCUGGGGGAGCAAACCGGAUUAGAUACCCGAGUAGUCC
rnacentral:rRNA from 1 species